UGGGUGAGUAACGCGUGGGUAACCUGCCCUUAAGUCUGGGAUACCAUUUGGAAACAGAUGCUAAUACCGGAUAAAAGCUACUUUCGCAUGAAAGAAGUUUAAAAGGCGGCGUAAGCUGUCGCUAAAGGAUGGACCUGCGAUGCAUUAGCUAGUUGGUAAGGUAACGGCUUACCAAGGCGAUGAUGCAUAGCCGAGUUGAGAGACUUAUCGGCCACAUUGGGACUGAGACACGGCCCAAACUCCUACGGGAGGCAGCAGCC
rnacentral:rRNA from 1 species